CACACACACACACACUUAAAGACAGUAUACGAGCCCCGGAUGUCAGUCAGGAUCUAAUAGCUAACACCGCCCUCCUGAGGUCCGGCUCCGGGGCGGAGCAGGCAUUUAAGGAUAUCGGUUUACGGAGGUGUCGCACCCAGAGGGACAGGGUGUCUCUGUUUUCUCUCACACACAUGGGUGUUGUAUAACUGUGGUGACCUUCCACAGACUACACAGGAACAGUAUAUGACAAGAACCAUUCGUCUGGAGGAACCGAGUCCAAGUCCAGACACCAGUAUCCCAUCGUGGAUCUACUCAGCACACGUAAACACUCGGUUUAGGAGACUCAAUGGAGCGUCUCAGUUCAGUUUUAAAGUGUCGAGCUCACCGGCAGUAGAAGUGCUUUAAGUAAAAGGUCAAUGUGAAGCUUAGACAUAAAGACUGUAAACAGAAGGAAAACAGCUAGACCAGCACUACUGCCCAAAGAUAAAUAAAUCAACACCGUCACUGCACCGGGGCCAGGAAAUAGUCCCACACAUAUCACCCAGUAUAAUCAAUGCUAAUAAACAAAAU